UUUCUAUGUCUCUCAUGUAUCUCAAUUGGAGCUAUUUGUUUGUGUGUUCAUUUUAAGUAUGUGCAUGCACAUCUCCAUUUGUGUACACAAAUUGGCUAUUUAUUGGUCUAUGUUUUUUCUAUCUUAAUAUUUGCAUAAUUCGUUCACCACCUUAAGAGUUUUGUGUUGCAGUGGUGCUAUGCAUAGUUCUGUAAGGAUUAUAGCUGGCAAGUUAUUUGUUGCUAAGGCCUCAGUCUGUUUGAUAUUUCACUAUUUCAGAAUCUAUGUGAAAAGAGAUGAAAAUGUAAUCUGAUAUUGAAGGGAGAGUCGAGUCUGAGUACCAUUAUGAUCAAUGUUAUCUCGUGGCUUUACCUGAAGUUGGCUAAUCUUUGUAUGGUGUAAUG
rnacentral:misc_RNA from 1 species